GAUGAACGCUGGCGGCGUGCCUAAUACAUGCAAGUCGAGCGAACAGACGAGGAGCUUGCUCCUCUGACGUUAGCGGCGGACGGGUGAGUAACACGUGGAUAACCUACCUAUAAGACUGGGAUAACUUCGGGAAACCGGAGCUAAUACCGGAUAAUAUAUUGAACCGCAUGGUUCAAUAGUUAAAGACGGUUUUGCUGUCACUUAUAGAUGGAUCCGCGCCGCAUUAGCUAGUUGGUAAGGUAACGGCUUACCAAGGCAACGAUGCGUAGCCGACCUGAGAGGGUGAUCGGCCACACUGGAACUGAGACACGGUCCAGACUCCGAAGGGAGGAAGCAGUAGGGAAUCUUACGCAAUGGGCGAAAGCCUGACGGAGCAACGCCGCGUGAGUGAUGAAGGUCUUCGGAUCGUAAAACUCUGUUAUUAGGGAAGAACAAAUGUGUAAGUAACUAUGCACGUCUUGACGGUACCUAAUCAGAAAGCCACGGCUAACUACGUG
rnacentral:rRNA from 1 species